rnacentral:rRNA from 1 species
AUUGAACGCUGGCGGCAUGCCUUACACAUGCAAGUCGAACGGCAGCACGGGUGCUUUCACCUGUUGGCGAGUGGCGAACGGGUGAGUAAUACAUCUGAACAUGUCCUUUAGUUGGGGAUAGCCCGGCGAAAGCCGGAUUAAUACCGCAUACGAUCCACGUAUUAAAUCGGGUGACCUUCUUGCCUCGCGCUUUUGGGUUUGCCGAUGGCUGAUUUGCUCGUUGGUGGGGUAAAGGCCUACCAAGGCGAGGAUCAGUAUCUGCUCUUAGAGGACGAACAGCAAAACGGGGAGUGAGACACGGCCAAGAAACCAAGGGGAGGAAGAAGUGGGGAAGUUUGGAAAAAGGGCGAAAGACUGAACAAGAAAUGCAGCGGGUGUGAAGAAGGCCUUCGGGUUGUAAAGCACUUUUGUAGGGAAAGAAAACAUUGACUCUAAAACAGGCGGGGGAUGACGGUACCGGAAGAAUAAGCACCGGCUAACUACGU